GUGAAAGUGAUGAUUAUUUCCCCAGAUGAUUCGACGAUGAACAUACUGAGCGCACUUUUAUUCUCAAUUGAGAAUCAAGCCAGAAAUCUGAUUCAU